GAUGAACGCUGACAGAAUGCUUAACACAUGCAAGUCUACUUGAACUUCGGUUUGGGUGGCGGACGGGUGAGUAACGCGUAAAGAACUUGCCUCACAGUUAGGGACAACAUUUGGAAACGAAUGCUAAUACCUGAUAUUAUGAUUUUAGGGCAUCCUAGGAUUAUGACAGCUAUCUGUGCUGUGAGAGAGCUUUGCGUCCCAUUAGCUAGUUGGAGAGGUAACGGCUCACCAAGGCGAUGAUGGGUAGCCGGCCUGAGAGGGUGAACGGCCACAAGGGGACUGAGACACGGCCCUUACUCCUACGGGAGGCAGCAGUGGGGAAUAUUGGACAAUGGACCAAAAGUCUGAUCCAGCAAUUCUGUGUGCACGAUGACGUUUUUCGGAAUGUAAAGUGCUUUCAGUUGGGAAGAAAAAAAUGACGGUACCAACAGAAGAAGUGACGGCUAAAUACGUG
rnacentral:rRNA from 1 species